AUCGCUGUAGUCGGCCAUUUGUAGGCUGUAAACAGAAGCGUGCUUAUUUUCACGUUGUUUUGUUUUUUAGAUUACACCUACGAACCAAAUAUGUCGUGCAGUUUUACCAAAUAUCAGCCAAUGUGAGCGUUGAAGCAGUGAUUACUGUUUGAUUGAAUUACAUAGCUGAUGUUUGGUAUGCUUAAGAUGGAGAUGAAGAGGUUCCUCUGUGUUGGUCUCCUCUGUCUAGGAUGUGUGCUUGCCUUUGACUGCCCAACUUACAUGUACCAUAAAAAUGGAGAGUGCCAUCCUUGCCUUCUGUGUAAAAAGUAUGGUGGUGCGCCCAAGCCUGACCAUGUGGAAGAUGGCUGUUUUAC